rnacentral:rRNA from 1 species
AUGAACUGCUUUUGGAGAAAAUUUGGAUCCCAGGAAAGAGGCAUGGUAUUGAUCUCUUGGAAUAAAGUUUGUCUACCUAAAUCCCAUGGUGGCCUGGGGGUUCUAGAUCUUCAGGUUCAUAACCAAGCCCUGCUCAUGAAAUUUCUGCACAAAUUCUUCAAUAGAGAAGACAUGCCAUGGGUUAAUAUUAUUUGGGAGACAUAUUACCAGAAGAGUUUACCAGGAGAUAAAUUGAUUGGAUCAUUCUGGUGGAAAUAUGUGUUGAAACUGUUGCCCACAUUCAAAGAGCAUACAAAGUGCAAAGCUGGUAGAGGAGAUACUAUAAUGCUCUGGACAGAUAAAUGGAUGAACAACCCUCUGAACACCCUGUUCCCUGAGCUACACUCUUUGCUAUCAAUAAAGACAUCACUCUGUUACAGGCCCAACAGCAUGAGGACUUAA